rnacentral:rRNA from 1 species
GUCCACGCCGUAAACGAUGCAUACUAGGUGUUGGCCCGUUGGGUCAGUGCUGCAGUUAACGCAUUAAGUAUGCCACCUGGGGAGUACGUCGGCAACGAUGAAACUCAAAGGAAUUGACGGGGGCCCGCACAAGCGGUGGAGCAUGUGGCUUAAUUCGAUGCAACGCGAGGAACCUUACCUGGGCUAAAUCCACAGCGCUACCUCUGGAAACAGAGGGUUCCUUCGGGACGCUAUGGAAGGUGC